AACGCACGAGACCUGCGGACCUGCGGAGGGAUCAUUACUGAGUUUCACAACUCUCUAACCCUGUGUGAACUGAAGUCUGGUUGCUCAGGCAGGCGGCCCCCGGGGGGAGCCGCAGCUUCUCUGAAGCGCCUGCCGGAGGAUACCUAAACUCGUUUUAACAUAUAAUCUUCUGAGUAAUAAAAAAAAAAUGAAUCAAAACUUUUAACAACGGAUCUCU
rnacentral:misc_RNA from 1 species